ACUUAAUAACUUCAACUAUAGACCUGAAAGGGUGUCCAUGAUGCACUCCUUGCAAGACAAAGUUCAUAGCCAUUCUUGAAUCACAAUCUACAUAAAUGUAUUAAUAUGCAUAAACCAGGCUACCUGAAGAGCAAUUGGGACACCCCAAAGUUUUGUCAUUAGCACACUAAAGGACCUAAGGUUCCUAACAAAACAUGUGAACCAUGUCCCAUUUGACAUUCUAAAAGCAUCAACAUAUGUUGUUUGUUGGUUAGGACUUCUAACUGAUGCAUUUGUAUUCAUCUUAGUCCAACCAGACUUAGGAGGAACUUAAGCCAAGGGCGUCAAUUGUUUACUACCUGUGACCCCUCCUGAAAACAUGCCCUUGCUCGAAUAUCACGAGCUAUAAAGAGUCCCCACCAAAAUCAUUCUCAGAAUAACACAUGUUUAUUAUGAGAAAACCAAAUGAGAUGAACUCCCAUAGAAAAAUAGUCUUCCAAAUAGCUCCCUCAUUAAUAUCAAUCUUAGAUUUCAGGUUUUGCAAAAACCAAUCCAACACAUCCAUGUCAAAGAAGUUGUUAUCGACAUCAGGAAAAAGUUUGAACCAAAUGACUUGGACCUUUUCACAGCCUCACAACAAAUAUAGAAUGGAUUCAUCUUCAUAGGACAAAGAAGACAUAAAGAGUUGUUACCAAACUCGCUUUGUUGCUUAACCCGCUUCCCCAUUGAAACACAUUAAUCACAACUCCUUUACGCACAUCUUUCCAAAUGAAACAAUGGUCAUGAGGUUGAAUAUCCAGGGACCAAACGUGCUUCCAAAUACCACUUACCCCAUGAACUUCCUCACCUUUAAGCAAAAAAUAAGUAAACUUUGUAGUAAAUCCACCAUCUAGUGUAUUUGCUCAACUAAUGUGAUCCUCCCCAAUGUCUCGUGAGGUGAAACACAACCAACAAUCUUUGCCAACAACCAAACAGGGAUAAAAUGCUGGAAAUGAGAAAUAUCCUAAAACCCUCUAUUUUGAUGUAAUCACUUAUAAAUAAAUUUACUUCACUAUAAGAAGGGUUCUGAAUAAGAAAUUUAAAAAUAAUAAGACCAAAUGACAAUCAUCUGUCUUUCCAAAACCUAAUCCUUUUCCCAUUUCCAUCAACUCACCUACAUCCCAAAAGAACAAAAUUCCAGACUAAGAAAAUUUCUCGUCAAACAUCUGAACAAUUAUUCAUACGUCUAAUAGAAGGUAAAGAAUGAUCAUCACAAUUAUAUUUACUUUUAAAACUCAAACCCACAAAGCAUCAUGAUCAAUCACCAAAUCCCAAGUCUAUUUCAUAACAAGAGCACAAUUAAAAAGUUUUAGAUCAUGAAAUCCCAAACCAUCAACAUCCUUCUCAUGACAAAAUGUAUUCUAACCAAUCGAGUGACAUCUCAGAUGAUUCGAAGACUUAUCCCACACAAAAACUCCUAUUCAGGCCCUCUAGUUUAUUACAAUCCUGAUUUAGGAGAAGAACCAUUUGCAUGAUAUACGUCGGAAGAGCAACAAUAAUCGCUUUGGCUAAGGUACAUCUCUUUGUAAAAGAAAGGUUAUUUGUCUUCCAAGAGCUUUGAAUUCAUGGAGUUGUGGGGGUGGUUGGGGAGACAAAAAAGAGGAAAACAAGAAAAAGAGAAAAAAGAAUGACUUGUCGUCGUCAAAAA
rnacentral:lncRNA from 1 species